CCAUCCCAGCCAAAAAUUCCGUCACCCACCGGCCGCCGAUCGAGUCUUCGACCACCUUCUCUCUUUCCGAAAAACACACACUGAAAGCUCGCCUCUCUGUAAUUUCUGUAUAUCUAAUUUCUCCGAUUUAUGUGUGUGUGUGUGUGUGUGUGUGUGAUUGCAGGAAGUCGGCGGUAGAUUCAGGCCGUAUUCGGAAAUAACAGGGGUUUAUCGCUGUAAAGAACAGAUUGAUUGGAAACUAAAAUACGGCAAAUAUAAGCUCCUUAAUUACUGAACCUGCCAAAUGGAAAUCUUUCUUUUUUGGGGAUUGAUUUUGCAGUUAAUUAUUUUAUUUUAUUUUAUUUUAUUGAUUUUUGCAAAAUCAAUUGCAGCCAGCGGUGUACUAAGAGGAAUGUUCGUCAAGCUUAUCACAAUGUCUGCCAUGGUUAGUUUUAGUUCUAAAACUGUUUACUACACUGUUAUUGUAUUGUGUUUUGCUUUCAUUUUGUCGUAAUUUAGUCUUCGGAAAACGGAAUAAAGAAUCAAAUUUUUGUUGGGGGUGGACAUCUUUGUUCUUAAUUAUUGAGAAUAAUGUGCGUAGGUUGUGCUAAAGAGCAUAAACCCGAAAAAUCGAGAAAGAUUGAUAAAAAAUUAAGUUUUUUUUUUGAUGAAUUGGUUAAUGUUGAAGCGGAUGCAGUCAGUUUAUGAAUUAAUAUUUGUAUUUCUUCCCCUACAGAGAUAUUUCAGAAGUAGAAGCUGAGAAAAAGACAUUAGACGAGGUUUUCAUUUUAUAAUUUUUUACAGUUGAAGCUAUUAUUUUGGUUUCGGGUUCAGUAUAAUCACUGAUGUUAGUUGAGUUAGAAACUUACCAAUUGUUUGCUGCUUUAGGCAAUCAAGAAUGCUCCGGAGAGGGAUAGGAGAUCUUUGCUAAGAGCUGUAAGUUUUUUGUCGGAAUUAUUUUUUUCUGAUUUAUUUUGUUUGAAUUGAAUUUGGGCCGCCGAGGAGAUGUAGUGCAUCAAUUAUCGGAGAUGGAUGCUGCUGUUAUUUUUUCGCCGGAGAAUGUUGCCUGGCCCGCCGACAAAGCUAUAUCCGUGAAAGGAAGAGCGGUGGUGGUCGUCGGAGAAUUUUGGAAAUUUAUUAAAUUAGGUGUUUGAGAUUUUUUUUUUUGUGCAGGGAUGGAUUGGGUUUGGGAAGGAAAGAUGGGGAUGAAUGACAGCUUCUUUUUCCUUGUUUUUUUUUUCUUUUUUUUUUUUUAAUAUCUAUUUCAAUUUGUAUUUAAUAUUAAAGAUGUAAGUGAAUGGACGAAUUUGCCCCUCAAAAUCUCACGUGCAAAGCACAUGUUUUAAUAUUCCGGUCAAAAUUGCCGGAAAAUUGAGUUUAGGGGGCACCGUGCAACGAAUUAAC
rnacentral:lncRNA from 1 species